UGUUCUGUAGCUUAGUUGGUUAAAGCGCCGGACUAGCGAUAACGGAGUCGUAGGUUCGAAUCCCAUCAAAACAA
rfam:Aedes albopictus isolate Foshan contig130061, whole genome shotgun sequence.